GUGUGCCUUUCCUAUCCCCUGUUGCGUGUCUCAGUGCUCCUACGGGAGGCAGCAGUGGGGAAUUUUGGACAAUGGGCGCAAGCCUGAUCCAGCAAUGCCGCGUGCAGGAUGAAGGCCUUCGGGUUGUAACCUGCUUUUGUACGGAACGAAACGGUCUGCCCUAAUACGGUGGGCUAAUGACGGUACCGUAAGAAUAAGCACCGGCUAACUACGUGCCAACAGCCGCGGUA
rnacentral:rRNA from 1 species